UGGAUCAGAACGAACGCUGGCUCCGUGCUUAAACAUGCAAGUCGAGCGGUAAGGCCCUUCGGGGUACACGAGCGGCGAACCGGUGAGUAACACGUGGGCAACCUGCCCUGCACUCUGGGAUAAGCCCGGGAAACUGGGUCUAAUACCGGAUAUGACCUUGGAUCGCAUGAUCUGGGGUGGAAAGUUCCGGCGGUGCAGGAUGGGCCCGCGGCCUAUCAGCUUGUUGGUGGGGUAAUGGCCUACCAAGGCUUCGACGGGUAGCCGGCCUGAGAGGGUGACCGGCCACACUGGGACUGAGACACGGCCCAGACUCCUACGGGAGGCAGCAGUGGG
rnacentral:rRNA from 1 species